GAGGUCCAGCCUGCCCAGUGACUCUGUUCAACGGCCGCGGUAUCCUAACCGUGCGAAGGUAGCGUAAUCACUUGUUCUUUAAAUGAGGACUCGUAUGAAUGGCACCACGAGGGUUAUACUGUCUCCUUUUUCCAAUCAGUGAAACUAAUCUCCCCGUGAAGAAGCGGGGAUGAAAAUAUAAGACGAGAAGACCCUAUGGAGCUUUAAACUUAAUAGCAAAUACUAUCAUUAAUUUAACCUUCAGAACAUAAACCUUUAUUCCAGUAUUAUGACUAUUAGUUUUAGGUUGGGGUGACCGCGGAGCAAAAAUUAACCUCCACAUUGAACGGGACUUAUUCCUGAGCAAAAAGCCACGACUUUAAGCACCAACAAAUUGACAUUAAUUGACCCAAUAUUUUGAUCAACGAACCAAGUUACCCUAGGGAUAACAGCGCAAUCCACUUCAAGAGCUCCUAUCGACAAGUGGGUUUACGACCUCGAUGUUGGAUCAGGGUAUCCCAGUGGUGCAGCCGCUACUAAAGGUUCGUUUGUUCAACGAUUAAAACCCU
rnacentral:rRNA from 1 species